GCGCCAGGCAGCCUGAAGUGCGCAAACUUCGAGAACAUCUGCGGGUGCCACCCUGAGCUGAGUGCGUGAGCUGUCGGGCGCCAGCUCCGCAAGCUGCUACCCAAGCCGUGUCCUUCACCCACUCAUCUGUCAGAUCAGAAGGCACCCAGAGGAUCUGAUUCAAGGCCCAGAUUCUCCAAAGAACUUAAAAAACGUCUAAAAAGAAAUUAAAUCUUCCCUAUGGAAUGGGAGGUCAAAAAGAAAAAAUGACGGUGGAGGAAGAGAAAGAUGGGGCCCAAGACCCAGGAGGCAAGAGGGGACCAAAGGAUUGCAGCAGAGUGGUCUCAGAGAAGAGGAAGAAGGGUCCCCUGCCCAGAUGCAGAGAGAAGCCAUU